rnacentral:rRNA from 1 species
GAUGAACGCUAGCGGCAGGCUUAACACAUGCAAGUCGAGGGGCAGCGCGAUGUAGCAAUACAUUGGCGGCGACCGGCGCACGGGUGCGUAACACGUAUGGAACCUGCCCUGUACUGGAAGAUAACCCGGAGAAAUCCGGACUAAUAUUCCAUAAUAAACGAGGUGGCAUCACCUUGUUUUGAAAGCUCCGGCGGUACAGGAUGGUCAUGCGCACGAUUAGCUAGUUGGUGAGGUAACGGCUCACCAAGGCUACGAUCGUUAGGGGGCCUGAGAGGGUUAUCCCCCACACUGGUACUGAGACACGGACCAGACUCCUACGGGAGGCAGCAGUGAGGAAUAUUGCGCAAUGGAGGCAACUCUGACGCAGCCAUGCCGCGUGCAGGAAGAAGGCGCUACGCGUUGUAAACUGCUUUUAACCGGGAAGAAACCCCAGGACGUGUCCUGGGUUGACGGUACCGGAGGAAUAAGCACCGGCUAACUUCGUG